AUAAACCCUUAGGGCGAUUCUCCUUAACGGUACCGUCGUCUGUCGUAUCUUACAACUCUCCUUCUGCCGAGAUUUUCUGAGCGAAACCCUAAUUUGCUUGCGACUAGUAUCACUUGCAGAGAUACAACUUACUUUCAGAUCCAGGAGAAUGAGGACUGGGGUGUUUUGGGAUUACGACAAUGUCCAUAUCCCAAAUGUACUCAAGAACAAUGGCAAGAUACAGUUUGUUCUUCCGCGGAUCUGUGAUUUUCUCACGAAUAAUCAUGGUUCUGGGAAGGUGACAUUCCAAAUAUUUGGAGCAAACACUAUUUCCCAGGAAGUCAGCACGCGGCUCAAAAUGAUGAAUGAACCGAAUGUUAGUAUUACAACAGUAGCCAAAGGUCAGGAUGCAUAUGAUUUGAGAAUCAUGAAUGCAUGCAAUAAUGAAAUGGGUCAAGGAACAUGAAGCCCCUGCCCGCAUAUUUUUGAUAGGGGGAGAUAGAGAUUAUGCCAAUCUUCUUCACCGUUUGAGAAUGGAGAACUAUAAUGUCUGUUUAGCAUCAAACAACGAUGCCAGUGUUUUCCCAUUACCACUCCGAUCCGCUGCCCACCAUAUUUGGAAGUUGGAUGACAUCGUGAUUAAAGAGGAAGACUAUGAGUAGUAUCAUGUCCUUUUGUCAUCGUAGACCGUCUUUGUACUUGAAAUCUAUUACAAGAGUGUAGGAGAUGGAUUACCACAACUCCAUAUGCCCCUUCCACUCUUAAAAAAUUCUCUUUUCUCCCCUUAUUAAAAUAUCAUUUAAUAUUUAUUUAUUUUAAAAAGAAAACGUGGGUCCAGGUAGUGUAAAGACUCUAAUACCUUUAACGAAUUAGAAUAUUUUCAAAUCCAACCUCUAAUUUAUCCAUUUUGCUUUUGUCUGCUCGUCUCGUAUUCUUUGGGUGUGAGGAGAAGACUAUAGCCGUAAUCAUGUGUGGGGAGAGCAGCAAACACAUGUUUUACAACAACGAAUCUUAAACCUAUAGGGACCACACUCACUCCACUCUGCGGCUGCUUCAAUUCCAUGAUCCUAUGCUCGCUAAUUCCCUCGGCAUCGGUUCACCACACUCGUACGAUCUCGAGCUUUUAAGAUUCAUGUUCUUGGUAAACGAGAUCGUUGCGUUGUAUUUGGAUAUAACAACGAAGAUGAGACGCUGCGUGUGUCGUGUGUGGGAUUGUGCUUCUCAACAUAUCUUGAUUCGAUUCUAUUCUGUUUUGUAGGCAUUCUAAAAUCGUUAACUUGGCGUACAUAUUUGUUCUUUGACGUUUUAUAUUUUUGCUGAAUGGAUUUUACAUUUCAUAACUAUUACCUAUUUGAUAAGGUGGUAUAGAAUUAAGAUCUGGGUUCUUUUGAAAAAGUUCAUUUUGGCUUACAAAUAUGUAGUGUUUAGACGGAUCCUCCAUCUAAAAGGCUGUUUGGACCAAGGUGUGGAGAAAGCUUGAAUUGGUUUUCCAAUAAAAAAAAAAAGGCCCCUAAUUUGUUCCUAAAAGCUGCUGAAAAAAUCUGAAUUUGUUUGAAAGCUCCCAAACAGUAUGGAAUCUGAUGAGUGACAAGUAGUGUCACAUAUCUGAAGUGGUCUUGAGUGACAAGUCUCAUCUUCAACGAUGUAUUUCACAUGGUGCAUAGAGACAUACGGGAACUUUUUCAUGGGUUUCUGUGCACUUCUUCAUAGUAUUGUAAUCAUGUUGGGGAAAUGUUUGUCUGAUGGUGUAAAUUAGUAUUGUAAUAACAAAAGUUCCAUAGAGAAAAUAAUUAAAAUUAAUUUUAAUUAUAUUUGCUAUUA